AGUUGGUUCUGUGUUAUGGUUGAGACCUAUAAGCCAUAGAUGGUAGUUGAUCUGGACUGUAGGAACCUUGGAUCCAAUAGUUUCCAGGACAGAGGUGUGUGGUUCCACAUGCUUUGCUUUGUAGAGAUUAGGGUUAAGUGGCUUUUUUGAUUAUGGUUAUGAAAUUUCAACUGUUUAAAGCUAAAAUUUGUGAAGUUAUUUUCUUGUGCAAAUCAGAAAUUUCAGCUGCUUGAAGGUCAAAUCCAUAAAAAAUGCUUCGAUCAUAGUCGAAUGUGAAAGGUUCAGUGACCCCAUCAGGGACCAACACUCGAAUCGAGCCGAAGAGCCCGGAUUCUCUUUGCAUUCCAUAGUGUGCAUGGUAAAGAUAACAAGCUGUAUGAUAGCCAUGGCAUAUAUUGUUGUAUGCAAUGGAGAGCGUUCAAAUCACUGACCUGAUUCUGGAUGGAGCAGAACCAAAGUGAUCAAAGUGAUCUGCAUGUUAUCAUUUUUUGAUGAAAUUGAUGCUAUUUGCAAGGUACGUACCUUAUUAAACUUCCACUUCAAUGUACCUUAAUUUAUCCUUACUGUAAAUGGAGAGAGUAUCUUGCACUGGAUAUGGAUGAAUUUC